rnacentral:tRNA from 2 species
CGCGGGGUAGAGCAGUUGGUAGCUCGUCGGGCUCAUAACCCGGAGGUCGGAGGUUCGAGUCCUCCCCCCGCUA